rnacentral:rRNA from 1 species
AGUGAACGCUGGCGGUAGGCCUAACACAUGCAAGUCGAACGGCAGCACAGUAAGAGCUUGCUCUUACGGGUGGCGAGUGGCGGACGGGUGAGGAAUACAUCGGAAUCUACUUUUUCGUGGGGGAUAACGUAGGGAAACUUACGCUAAUACCGCAUACGACCUACGGGUGAAAGCAGGGGAUCUUCGGACCUUGCGCGAUUGAAUGAGCCGAUGUCGGAUUAGCUAGUUGGCGGGGUAAAGGCCCACCAAGGCGGCGAUCCGUAGCUGGUCUGAGAGGAUGAUCAGCCACACUGGAACUGAGACACGGUCCAGACUCCUACGGGAGGCAGCAGUGGGGAAUAUUGGACAAUGGGCGAAAGCCUGAUCCAGCCAUACCGCGUGGGUGAAGAAGGCCUUCGGGUUGUAAAGCCCUGUUGUUGGGAAAGAAAAGCAGCAGGUGAAUACCUGGCUGUUCUGACGGUACCCAAAGAAUAAGCACCGGCUAACUUCGUG